CGGAAUGUAGCGCAGUUGGUAGCGCAGUAGCGCACUACGUUCGGGACGUAGGGGUCGGGCGUUCGAGUCGCCUCAUUCCGA
rnacentral:tRNA from 1 species